rnacentral:rRNA from 2 species
UUCGGGCCUCUUGCCAUCGGAUGUGCCCAGAUGGGAUUAGCUAGUAGGUGGGGUAACGGCUCACCUAGGCGACGAUCCCUAGCUGGUCUGAGAGGAUGACCAGCCACACUGGAACUGAGACACGGUCCAGACUCCUACGGGAGGCAGCAGUGGGGAAUAUUGCACAAUGGGCGCAAGCCUGAUGCAGCCAUGCCGCGUGUAUGAAGAAGGCCUUCGGGUUGUAAAGUACUUUCAGCGGGGAGGAAGGGAGUAAAGUUAAUACCUUUGCUCAUUGACGUUACCCGCAGAAGAAGCACCGGCUAACUCCGUGCCAGCAGCCGCGGUAAUACGGAGGGUGCAAGCGUUAAUCGGAAUUACUGGGCGUAAAGCGCACGCAGGCGGUUUGUUAAGUCAGAUGUGAAAUCCCCGGGCUCAACCUGGGAACUGCAUCUGAUACUGGCAAGCUUGAGUCUCGUAGAGGGGGGUAGAAUUCCAGGUGUAGCGGUGAAAUGCGUAGAGAUCUGGAGGAAUACCGGUGGCGAAGGCGGCCCCCUGGACGAAGACUGACGCUCAGGUGCGAAAGCGUGGGGAGCAAACAGGAUU